CUGUUAAUUGCUUGCCUUCUUACUCACUCUCUCUUGUUUAGUUAUUGUUUUUCAUCUCCUUAAUUAUGUUCAUCUGCUCUUAAUGUAGAAGGGAGAAGAAAUAAGAGGUGCAGCGGACGCUUUAAUGAAAGGCCUGGGCUUUUAUAAAGGAGAACCAUAAAUUGAGAGGAUGAAACAAGAAAUGAGGAAUUGAAAGGCAAAAGAUGAGAUGAAGGCCAAAGAGCAGGGAGAAUCAACUACUAUGGCUGCUCACUAUUGAGUCCCAGUAAAGGCGGCCACUGUCACUUGCCUGCCUCCACAGAUUGUGCAAUUCAGAAGCUCAUGGCUCUCGUAGGAGGAAGCACGAGCAGCAUCUGGAGGGGAGGAGAAAUAGCAACAUAGAGGACAUGGUGCAGUCUCUUUGACUCGGGAUGGUGUCUUAAUGAGGAAGGAGUUAUGUUGCUUGCUGAAUUGCCAGUGAGAGGAAGAGCUAGUGAUGAACUCAUGAAAUUGACAUGAGAGGGUGAAGGCAGAGAGCAGGGUUAAUUGUGAACAGCUGAGUUAAGUGCGGGUGAGGUCGCAGCAGCUUGGUUUAAGUGCAUUCAAGCUUGUGUCUGCUGAAAAAGAGGAGAAUGCGGCACUGGUGGGCAUUAACCAUGGCUUUUAAUUGGAAGCG